rnacentral:rRNA from 1 species
GCAAUACGGAGCGGCAGACGGGAGAGUAACACGUGGGAACGUGCCCUUCAGUUCGGAACAACCCAGGGAAACUUGGGCUAAUACCGGAUACGUCCGAAAGGAGAAAGAUUUAUCGCUGAAGGAUCGGCCCGCGUCUGAUUAGCUAGUUGGUGGGGUAAUGGCCCACCAAGGCGACGAUCAGUAGCUGGUCUGAGAGGAUGAUCAGCCUCACUGGGACUGAGACACGGCCCAGACUCCUACGGGAGGCAGCAGUGGGGAAUAUUGGACAAUGGGCGCAAGCCUGAUCCAGCCAUGCCGCGUGGGUGAUGAAGGCCCUAGGG